CUCACUGGCUCUCUUACGUAUGAGAUGAGGACCAUGAUGGUAGGAGAAGUUUAGUGAAAGUCCCAGAACUUCCCCUUCUUAUCCAGAAAUACUGAAUCUCUGAAAGAGCUUUGGAGAUUAAUGCCACCAUUAAAGGGUUGAAAUAAGCAGGCACUGUGACACUUCUUACAAACCCAUUUAACUGGCCACUUUGGCCUGUGCAGAACUCAUAUUGUUACCAGAAAAAGGGGUCUCGAUCCAGAUGUAAAGAGGGGAUUCUUGGAUCUCACGCAGGAAGGAAUUCAAGGCGCCUGCUUCCCUAACGAUAUGGAUUAUGAAGAAUGUGGACUAUUGCAAAUGUAAUCAGCUGGUGACUUCAAUUACAGCUGCUGUACCAGAUGAGAAAUCUCUGCUGGAGAAAAUCAACAUAUUCUCUGGCACUUUGCAUGCAGGUACUGAUCUUACUCAUGCUUUUUUCUCAAACCAGUUUGCAAGGACCACCAGAAGCAGUUUACUUUUACCUGACAGGGUGAACAGUAUACACUCACAGUGUUGCCUGAAGGACAUGCCAGUUCUUCUGCUCUAAGCAAUGAUAUUGUCUGCAGAGAUCUAGUCAUCUUGUCAGUUCACGCAACAUUACACUGGUCCACUAAUAUUGACAAUAUUAUGCUUAUUGAAUCUGAAAAAGAGGAAGUAGCAAAGGUGGGAGAUGAUCUCCACAAAACUUAGGGGCCCUCCACCUCAGUGAAGUUUCUAGCAGGUUCAGAGGUGUGGAAUACGUUGAAAUAUCCCCUCCAAGUGAAAAACAAGUUGAUGUAUUUUGCGCCACCUCCUGUGAAAAAGAAACACAAUAUUCAGUUGGGCUUUGAGGAUUUUAGAUACAAC
rnacentral:lncRNA from 1 species